rnacentral:rRNA from 1 species
AUGUCGAGGGAUGCUCUGCACGAGUUUACGAAGAAAUGUGGGGGAGUGAAGGACGAUCUGCUCAGGGCAAUGGCGAAGCUGCUGGAACUUAACGACGAUGAUUACUUUGUGAAACACUUUGGAGAGAGGCCUCUUACUAACGCGAGGUGCAGCUACUACCCGGAGUGUCCAAGGCCGGAGCUCGUGUUUGGCCUUAAGCCCCACUCCGAUGGAACUGUUGUUACAGUCCUCAUGGUCGAUGACAGGAUUGGUGGCCUUCAAGUUCUCAAAGAUGGGGUCUGGUGGGAUGUACCGAUCGUACCUCACACAUUACUCCUGAUUAUAGGAGAUCAAACUGAGAUAAUGAGCAAUGGGAUCUUAAAAAGCCCUGUGCAUAGGGUCGUGACAAACACAAAGAAAGAGAGACUAUCGGUGGCACUAGACUACUCUGUUGAUCCUAAGAAAGAAAUCGAGCCAUCGGCUCAGUUGAUCAAUGAAAAGAGGUCGGCGUUGUACACAAAAGUGAAGAUCAAGGACUACUUUGCUAGAAAUUACAAUGAUUUUACUCAAGGCAAAAUGGCUAUCGAUACAGUGAAGGUCUAA